rnacentral:lncRNA from 1 species
UGUAAAACCAGCUGCGUAAUGCAACCAACCUGUUUUUAUUACAUGACAACAGAGAUGAGCAGCCCUAAAUAAUUUUGUAGUGUAAUCUUUGUUGUUUAGUAAAAAUUGAUAUUUAAAUACCAUAAAUUGAAUUGGAAGUCUGAAAUCCAUCAUUUUAAUCUCACUAGUGAGUUUUAUUGUCUAAAAUAAUUUUAAAUGAACUUAUUUGUAUAAGAAAAUGGUUUACAUAAGUACAAAACAUCUAUAGCAUACUGGUUUUGGUAUUUGAUUUAACAUGUGAUUACACGUCCCACUAAAAAAUAAUGCAUUUUCUAUCUCCAGCUGUCUGCAAUGGAAGAGAAUUUAUUAACUUGUGUUGAAAAACAUUUGACUAAAUUUAGAACUCUUACCUACAAAAUGCAACCAAAUAUUUGACAACAUCAACACAAACGGUCCGUUUUGUCCAUAUGGCAAGUGAGUGUAAGACAGCAGCCUUCAGACUUUUUUUUGACAACUACUCAUUUAUGCUGACAGCAUCUGGUGGCUAACAAUUGCCUUUGUCCUCUUUAGCAAACAAGCCCCUGCCAUGCCUGAGUUUGGUGACAGAUGGCUCGCUUUGAGAGCCGCCCAGGAGCGCUCUCUUACAAAAGAUGUCAUUUCUUUACACAACUGUGCGUUUGAUUCUCAGCACGAACAUACUGUAUGGUGGCAGCACAGCCGUGCAAACGACAGCCUGCAAUCAAGGGCACACAUCUGUUCCUAUACCGGACAUGGUCGAGUGCAUGGAUUUAAAAAACUGAAACCAUAACCAAGACAUCAUCUAAAUGCAGAUACAAGCUCUAAUGCAAACAAACAAUACCACCACAGACUGUUGUCUGUGCCAGAUUGAGUGCACUUCCUCUGAAGUGGAGAACUGAACAAAGGCGUUUAAUCAGAAUUUGAUUAAUUCUAAUCUGGUUUCUUUCAAAGCAAUAAUUUCCUUGCUACUCGAUCAAUAAAGCAUUGCUCCUUGAAUGAGUUGCGGUCUUC